rnacentral:rRNA from 1 species
AGAUGGCGACCGGCGCACGGGUGAGUAACACGUAUCCAACCUGCCGAUAACUCGGGGAUAGCCUUUCGAAAGAAAGAUUAAUACCCGAUGGUAUAAUCAGACCGCAUGGUUUGUAUUAUUAAAGAAUUUCGGUUAUCGAUGGGGAUGCGUUCCAUUAGGCAGUUGGUGAGGUAACGGCUCACCAAACCUUCGAUGGAUAGGGGUUCUGAGAGGAAGGUCCCCCACAUUGGAACUGAGACACGGUCCAA